CAGCCGCCGCGGGAACACGAAGGGGGCUAGCGUUGUUCGGAAUUACUGGGCGUAAAGCGCACGUAGGCGGAUAUUUAAGUCAGGGGUGAAAUCCAGAGCUCAACUCUGGAACUGCCUUUGAUACUGGGUAUCUUGAGUAUGGAAGAGGUGAGUGGAAUUCCGAGUGUAGAGGUGAAAUUCGUAGAUAUUCGGAGGAACACCAGUGGCGAAGGCGGCUCACUGGUCCAUUACUGACGCUGAGGUGCGAAAGCGUGGGGAGCAAACAGGAUUAGAUACCCCUGUAGCCCUGUCUCUUAUACAC
rnacentral:rRNA from 1 species